rnacentral:misc_RNA from 1 species
GAUGAAGAACGAAGCGAAAUGCGAUAAGUAAUGUGAAUUGCAGGAUUCAGUGAAUCAUCGAAUCUUUGAACGCACAUUGCGCCCGCCAGUAUUCUGGCGGGCAUGCCUGUUCGAGCGUCAUUACAACCCUCAGGCCCCCGGGCCUGGCGUUGGGGAUCGGCGGAGCCCCCCGUGGGCACACGCCGUCCCCCAAAUACAGUGGCGGUCCCGCCGCAGCUUCCAUCGCGUAGUAGCUAACACCUCGCGACUGGAGAGCGGCGCGGCCACGCCGUAAAACACCCAACUCUUCUGAAGUUGACCUCGAAUCAGGUAGGAAUACCCGCUGAACUUAAGCAUAUCAAUAAGCGGAGGA